UAGCCCGACAGGCUAAUGCAGUAUAGAUUUAUGAUAGCCCAACCUCUAAAAUUGGUAGCCCUGAGCGUUGGGCAAUGGUAAUUGCACACCCCUGCCGGGGGCAGGGCGGGUCACAAUGGGAGAUCAAAGUUUUACAUGGGAAUACAUUGGAAAAAUCUUCUCCAGAACCACUGGGCCAAGAAAGAUGAAACUGAUGUAGAAACAUCUUCAGAGAAGACGAAUGUCACCUUCGUCAGAAGCAGAUUUUUACUGCCAGGCUGGCUUUGACCAAAAAGGUUUUGAGAUCAAAUUUAUAUCAGACUAUAAAUUAAAACAUCCAAAUGGCUAGCUCAGAUGUGGAAGUGGAAUCGGACCCUUUUAGUUGGGAAUUCAAUGGAAAUUCAUUUGACAGUGAUGAUGAUGAUGAGAUUAAUUCAGCUUGUUGUGAUCCUCCUGGACAUCCAAGUGUUUUCGACAUUGAUGAAGAUUUUGUCAAUCUCUCUCUUGGACCAAACCAAGAAAUGAUGGUUUUAAGAAGAUUAUAGGAUAUGUCAUAGAAUACGAAGACCCCACCACUGGAGGCAGGCUAACGACUACCCAGUAGAUGAGUGUGUUUAUGAGGUGAAGGGAUUAAAAAAGGACAAGGAAUACAACUUCCACAUACAGGCCAAGAAUCUUGAAGGUUUUUAAAUCAGUGAGUCUAGUGAUGUGAUUGGUCCCAUAACUCCCAAGCCCAAAUACACCAAGGUUUUGCCACCUGUUGUACCAGAGGCUGUCAACAAUUCUAUAACUUAUCUGAAAUGGGAACCACCUAAACAUAAUGGUGGCUGUAAAAUUACAGACUACCUUGUAGAAGAGAGGUUUAAGGGAACAGAGAAAUGAGUACCCCUGCACUGACCCCUCUUUACUGUCACCGAUCUUCCUCAGGACUCAGAGUGGGAGUUUAGAGUUACAGCUGAUAACUUUGCUGGAAACUGUGAGCUCAGUCUGUGCUCACCAGCAUACAAAAUCCAGGAGAAGAUUGAGUCUUUUGCAAUUGAGCAGGAUGAGGAAUCACACCAAUCAUUUGUAAAUGAAAGCAGCAGUCAUGAUGUUGUCAAUGAGAAUGAAUUUUAAAUAGGACAUGAUACAGGGCCACUUUAAGUGAUGAAGCAGA